UUUGUAUAACAGUGCUAAAUGGUCGGGUAUAAAUCGUUUCUACGUAAUAGUGGAAUAUAAGUUCGUACAUGGUCAACAAGAUUCAAAUCAAGGUCAGCAAAAAUGAGGCCAUUCGGAGAAGAGAUAUCACUGUAUUGAGCAAUAACAGUACCUAGAUGCAUUAGAAUUUCAAGUUAUUUUACCUAAUAAAAUUGUCAAAAUGACAUACCCCAAGGGUCAACAAUCUAAAAAUUUUAAUUAGCAAGAAUUCUUAAACAGACAGGUGAAACUUGAAGACGACAUACCAUGGAAUGACCAUAACUAGCACGCUUCUCGUUAUGCUUUCCACCUUGCGCAGGAGCUAUAACAUAACACUGAGAGUCCAAAGCGCGAGCUCUCAACAGCACUUCCCAAUGAGCAGCUCCGGUCUUUUCAGUAAAAGCACUAGGGUAUGUGAUAAUGUGAGCACCCAUGUUUCUAAGCUUUAUAGCUUGUUCUGGGAAGCGGAUGUCAAAACAAAUUGCAGAACCAACUUUGCCUAGAGGGGUUUUACAAGGUGGGAGAAUAGCUUCACCACGAAGUGUAGUAUUCGACUCUUUUAAAGUUGGUCCAUUUUUAAUUUCAACAUCAAAAAGAUGAGCUUUGCUGUAACGGCUAAUGAUUUCACCAUGAAGAGGCUCGAUAAACAGGCUACUGUUUAGUAGCUUGUUUUUAACCUUAGAUGGUUCGUGCACGCAUAUCUAUAAAGACAAGUUUGUUACUAUCAAAGUAGUUAAACAUUAGUACGUACGUUUACGAAGAUUGAAUGUUUGGUAGCUGACUCUCGAACGUCCCGAAUAAACUUGCUACAGUCAGGAUGAUUUGUAAGUUCAAUAGCCUCAUCACUCUGUAUGUCAGAGAUAUUAGUAAAGUUGGUAAAGUAUGCAAAAGUGUCGUACAUUAUGAGCUAUAAAGUCAGAAGCCUCAGGGAAGAAUAUGCAUUUCGCACCUUUGGCGGCUGCUUGACUUAUCAAUUCUUUACAUAUGGCUAAGUUUUUUAGAAUAGAACCACUUGAGUUAAGCUGAGCUACUGCUGCCAAUGUCAUGAUGGUACAAAAAUGGAUGAAUGGGACCCUGCGUUUAC